CCCUGCGCAAGGGAUCUCUUGGCUCGCUGUGCGAUGAAGGGCGCAGCGGAGGGCGAAAUGUGCAGGAGCAGCAGCAGUGAUUGCACGUGCCCUAAGAUGGCUAGCAUGGAUACCCCUUUGAAUUAAGCAUAUGAGUAGAGGGAGGAAAAGAAACUAACAAGGAUUCCCGUAGUAGCGGCGAGCGAAGAGGGAAGAGCCCGGAGUGUAAUCGCUGCUUUAUUAGCGGCGAGAUGUCAGUGAGUGAGAUGAACCGUUCUGGAAAGACGGGGCCGAAGAGGGUGAGAGCCCCGUUGCAGCUCAUUCUUAAGGGAGUAGCGGUGUUUUGUAUUGCACCGUGAAUGGGUGGCAGCGUGCAUCCAAGGCUAAAUAUGGCAGCGAGACCGAUAGUGGAUAAGUAGAGUGAUCGAAAGAAGAAUAUUGUGAAAAGGUGAAAUUGCGC
rnacentral:rRNA from 1 species